rnacentral:rRNA from 1 species
AACUUUUCAGCUAGAGUAUGAUAGAGGAAAGCAGAAUUUCUAGUGUAGAGGUGAAAUUCGUAGAUAUUAGAAAGAAUACCAAUUGCGAAGGCAGCUUUCUGGAUCAUUACUGACACUGAGGAACGAAAGCAUGGGUAGCGAAGAGGAUUAGAUACCCUCGUAGUCCAUGCCGUAAACGAUGUGUGUUAGACGUUGGAAAUUUAUUUUC